AACAUCCCUAUGUGCCCAAAGCACAGGCCUCAGAGUUGGGCCACUUCUACUCUAUUUCGUUCACGUCGUGUCUGGGAGGCCAGGAAAUGGGUCUCUCCGGGCAGCCAUGUGCCCCCGGUAUCUAGCACAGUUCCUGGCACACAGUAGGUCCUCGAUACCUAUCUAUUGAGCUAAACAAAUAUGUUCUAGGCCCCACAGGAGAUAUAACAUGAGUGAGACAAGGUUCCUGACGGUAACAGGGUUGGUAGUGUCUGCACUGAGUGGGCACUCAGUUCAGGUCCUCAGCUUAAGUUUAAGUGACAAAUUUUCAAGAUUUACUUUCCAAAUAAUUGCUCUUCACCCCCAAUAUUAGAACAGAACUUUCUAUAAUUGAAUGGAAUUCCCGUGAACCAAUUGCUAGAAGUUUUACACACUUUUGUCCUCAUCGGAUUCCCAAAUUAAUCCUAGAAAGCAGGUGACCUUAUUAUUAUUAUCACCUCAUUCACAGUUGAGAGAUCUAAUAGCUUGCCUAUUGUCAUGCAACUCUAAGCGGGAGAAGUAGGAUUGAAGUUCACGUUUGACCCAAGCCCGGCUCUCACUCAUUCAUUCCUCUGCUUGGCAACAAUUCACUGGACGUCUGUGCCUGUGCUGGGUGGGGUUGGAGGUGUCACAAUACAUUGUCCCUGCCAUCAAAAAACUCAUAAACUGUUAGGGAAAGCCACCUGUAAACAAAGAAUUGUCACACAGGGUGCCGAGCAUUAUGAGAGUGGGAUAUAUGGAAACGCUCAUGACCACAGUAACUCAACAGGAGACGUGGUAGAUGAAGCAAGGUUUUCCAGAGGGGGGGACUUGAACUAGUUUUGGGAAAUUGAAUAUUUUUGUCAGGACAACACAGGAAUGCUCAGGGUGGUAAAGUCUGUGCUCGAAUGUCACCUCAGUAGGGCAUCCCCGAUUCCCCCAUAUGAAGAGCAGAGUCACACCUCCUUGUCCACAGCUCUCUCAAUCCAUUUUAUUAUUUUUUUCCCACAGCACUCAACACGUACAACAUACCUCAUGCGGUAGGAUGAAGAGUGGUCCCCUAAAACGUCCACGUUCUAAUCCUCAGAAACUAUGUCUAUAUGAGCCUUUAUGGCAAGAUGGACUUUGCAGAUAUGAUGAAGUUAAGGGUCUUGAGAUGGGAAGAUUAUCCUGGAUUAUCUGGGUGGGCCUGAUAGAAUCACAAGAGUCCUUAUAAGAGGGAGGUGGGAGCUCAAAGAGGACAGAAGAUGCUCCACAGCUGGCUUUGAAGGUGGAGGAAGCCACGAGAAUAUGGGAAGCCAUGAGUUGCCACUAGAAGCUGAAAAAGGCAAAGAAACGGAUUCUCCCCUGGAGACUCCAGAAGGACCCAGUUCGGCUGACACUACUAUUUUAGUCCUAUCGGACUUGUUUUGGACUUCUGACCUUCAGAACCGAGCAGAGGGGAUGUUUGAGCCACAAGAUGCAAGGAGCCUGGGACCCUGAAUUACCACGAGGAGAAAGCUGCAUGCCGGCCAGGAAGCCCCACACUGGAUUGUUAUAGAGAAACAUCGGGAAUGACAACACAAUGAGAUCAUGAUAAGAGGAAGCAGCUAAACCUGACAGGUCACCUCCUCCUCUCGUUCUAGCAACCCAGCCUCUCAUAAGAACAAGGAAGAGCAAAGUGACAGCUUCCAGAGCAAAGGGGAGACAUCUCGCAGCUCUGAGUAGAUAAGCUUAGUGCUGGCUUCACACGGAGGGGCAAGACUCCGGACUCCAUGGGAUAACAAAGCUUUGUUUCCAAAUCAACUGUGAAUAUGAAGACCGAAGGAGAGCUGACCCAGGGCCCAUCGCAAAAGGGUUCAGAGAGACCACAGAUCUUUGCUGGCCAAAGUAUUAAAAAUAAAACAACAAAACCAAAGACCCUUCACAAGAAACUGAAAUCACAAGAAACUGAAAUGUAAAGGAGAAUGACUUGAGUUUGUCAGUAUCGCGAGAACUGAAAGGGGAUCUGCGUUGGCUCCUGGAAGUGUAUAACCAGGUUAGGAACAGUGGAGCUGAGAUUAACUCAGAUGCCCAUCAGAGGCUCCGAAUGGAAAACCAUGUUGAAAAGCAUAAAGUGCUCUCUGAUGUGAGGCAUUCUUGGGAUGUGCGGAAAUUAUUUUCAUUUGAAGGGAAAGAGAAAAACUAAGAAACAAAAGAAGCCAAAGAGCCUUUCAAAUAUUUUACCAUGAAUUCGUACUUUGAAAGGAAAAUAAUAAAAGUGGAUUCAUA
ensembl:lncRNA